rnacentral:rRNA from 1 species
ACUGUGAGACAGGUGCUGCAUGGCUGUCGUCAGCUCGUGUUGUGAAAUGUUGGGUUAAGUCCCGCAACGAGCGCAACCCUUAUCCUUUGUUGCCAGCGGUCCGGCCGGGAACUCAAAGGAGACUGCCAGUGAUAAACUGGAGGAAGGUGGGGAUGACGUCAAGUCAUCAUGGCCCUUACGACCAGGGCUACACACGUGCUACAAUGGCGCAUACAAAGAGAAGCGACCUCGCGAGAGCAAGCGGACCUCAUAAAGUGCGUCGUAGUCCGGAUUGGAGUCUGCAACUCGACUCCAUGAAGUCGGAAUCGCUAGUAAUCGUGGAUCAGAAUGCCACGGUGAAUACGUUCCCGGGCCUUGUACACACC